rnacentral:lncRNA from 1 species
UUUUUUUUAAAUAUUUAUUUUAUUUGUAUGUGUAUGGGCAUUUUGCCUAUGUAAAUGUUUGUGAACCACAUGCCUGCUUGGUGUCCAUGGAUGUCAAAAGAGAGCAUCAGACCCACUGGAGCUGGAGUUAGAGAUGGUGUGAACCUCCAUGCGGGUGCUGGGAACUCAACUCGAGCCCUCAAAAGCAACAAGUGCUCCUGGCUGCCCUCUGAGCCAUCUCUGUAGCUCUCUGCUUCUUGAUCACAGGAAGAGACUUACUGGUUGCUCGGGUAUAACGGACUCUAUAUCAAGCCAAUAAUCCUAUCCUCUCCGUGGAGUUAGAAAAAGAAGGUGUCUUUUUCUACCCACGAGUCUCCCAUGCAACAGGAAGGAGAUAUUCAUUUUGUAUUAAAUACAAUGUGUUGUCUAACCCGCUGUGUUGGCCACCUGGGCUAUAGGCAUAGACUUAACUCCUAGAAGCUGUACAGCUUGCAAUGUCUGCAGUCCUUGUUCUUCAAAUGCCUGAAGACUGAGCGUUGUACAUUCUUGGGAGGUUUAGAGAGCACAUGGGAAAGCAUCGGUCCCGAGAGUCCAAAGGUAAUGCUGAGGUGCUCUGAGCAGGGGAAAGGGCACAAGCGCCUCGUGAAAGCCCCAUUGCCAAGCUUCCCGGAGGCCUCACCCAGGAGGUGACAUUUAUUAUUCAUUUUCCUGGUGAUUUAUCAGAAUCUGCGUCUUAGCUGUUUAGGUUCCAACCGUGAUUUCAUCGAGAUACAAAUAACAGAUUCAUUGUCAGAACCGGGCUUACCUUAACCAAGCUUACAAAACUAGAAUGCUAGCUGACGUUUAUGCAGAGAAAUAUAGCUGGCUGAUAAAGCAUAAAAUAGUAGCCUUUUCUUUCCUGGUAGGCAAGCCUUCACAGGGGGACAGAUCAUAAUCAGGUUAUUUGGCGAAUGUGAAAUC